rnacentral:misc_RNA from 1 species
AAGUCGUAACAAGGUUUCCGUAGGUGACCUGCGGAAGGAUCAUUAAAUAAUUUAGAUGGCCUCCUAGAACUUGUUCUAGUUAGGUUCAUUCUUUUUUACUGUGAACUGUUUUAAUUUUCAGUGUUUGAGGAAUGUCUUUUAGUCAUAGGGAUAGACUAUUAGAAUGUUAACCGAGCUGAAGUCAGGUUUAGACCUGGUAUCCUAUUAAUUAUUUACCAAAAGAAUUCAGUAUUAUUAUUGUAACAUAAGCGUAAAAAACUUAUAAAACAACUUUUAACAACGGAUCUCUUGGUUCUC